rnacentral:rRNA from 1 species
GAUGAACGCUGGCGGCGUGCUUAACACAUGCAAGUCGAACGGAAAGGCCCAAGCUUGCUUGGGUACUCGAGUGGCGAACGGGUGAGUAACACGUGGGUGAUCUGCCCUGCACUUCGGGAUAAGCCUGGGAAACUGGGUCUAAUACCGGAUAGGACCACGUCUUGGAUGUUGUGGUGGAAAGUUUUUUCGGGGUGGGAUGAGCUCGCGGCCUAUAAGAUUGUUGGUGGGGUAAUGGCCUACCAAGGCGUCGACGGGUAGCCGGCCUGAGAGGGUGUACGGCCACAUUGGGGCUGAGAUACGGCCCAGACUCCUACGGGAGGGAGCAGGGGGGAAUAUUGCACAAUGGGCGCAAGCCUGAUGCAGCGACGCCGCGUGGGGGAUGACGGCCUUCGGGUUGUAAACUCCUUUCGCUAGGGACGAAGCGUUUUUGUGACGGUACCUGGAGAAGAAGCACCGGCUAACUACGUG